rnacentral:sRNA from 1 species
UACCGAUCGUUUUGCAUUUAAGGAGUCUUUAAGCUUUCCCCGGUAUUACUGGCGGCGUCCAUCUUCUGGACAUCGAGUGGCUCCUGUCCACUCUGUUUGACGCCCUCCCUGUUAUCCACUUGAGCCGCCGGCAACGGCGGCUCUUUUUUG